rnacentral:rRNA from 1 species
UACGUAGGGCGCAAGCGUUGUCCGGAAUUAUUGGGCGUAAAGAGCUCGUAGGCGGCUUGUCACGUCGGGUGUGAAAGCCCGGGGCUUAACCCCGGGUCUGCAUUCGAUACGGGCUAGCUAGAGUGUGGUAGGGGAGAUCGGAAUUCCUGGUGUAGCGGUGAAAUUCGCAGAUAUCAGGAGGAACACCGGUGGCGAAGGCGGGUCUCUGGACCGAUACUGACGCUGAGGAGCGAAAGCGUGGGGAGCGAACAGG